rnacentral:rRNA from 1 species
GUCGGACUCUAUCCAGUAUGGGCGUUUUGAUUCUUGAGGGGAGUUGUCUCUAGUACGAGAGGACCGAGACGAGGGAACCUCUAGUGUGCCUGU